AACAAACCAUCAAUAUUUCUUCAGUUGAUAAAUCCUGAUUAUCCAAGUACCCAGAGAAGGUGUGAACAUUUAUUGGAAAAAAGCCAUUUAUUUAAUUAUGGCUAAAAAAAGAAGAAAAUAAACCUUUGAAAAAUUAUUUGGAGGUACAUGAAGAUGAACUGGAUCAGAGGCACCUUUUUCAGACACAAUGGGAUAUGGUGACAUGUGAGCAAAAAGAAAUGAAAAUGAUAAAAAGAGAAAACCUAGGCCUUAUAGCCACAGGGUCAAUCCCCUCAUGUGUGGAAUUCAGUGGGAAAUAACAAAUUUUUCUGCAUCUUUGGCAGAGUGGAAAACUGAGAGCCCUAUCUGACACUCUAAGCAAUGUUCCCACAGAGGUCAUAUAAAGCAAAAAUAAUUAAUAGGCCUAAAUAUUGUGUAUUGUUUUCCUUAGAAGGAUUUAUACCAUCUAAAAAAUAGAAUGUAUUUAAUCUAACUCAAAGACACAUAGUUCCUAACCCUAACCUUAUAUUUUGACUCAUUUGCUUACAAAUUCAUUUUGAUAAAAAUGCUAAACUUGGAUUUAUUUGUUUUUACAGAUUCAAUUUUGAGGAAUUUUCACCUAGAGGAAUCCAAGAUCUUCAGUCCAAACAGCAAUUUCUGGGGAGGUAGAUGAUGGGGGGAGGGGUAGCAGAGGGGUUAUAAUUAGCUGAACAUUUCAGUAAGAACAGUAACAAACAUGAGAUGUGGUGGUCCUGGGCAGUGUUCCGUGACAAGCAGAGGUUUACAUUUUUUAGGUUCAAGAGCAGGUAAAUGUUUCGUUUCGAGUUCAACUUUAGUUAAAAACUUGGGAGAAUUGGUUUCUUUUUCACUUGAAAGAAUAAGAACAUUUUAGGAAAUUUCUGAUGCCUGACCUAAAGACCUCUCAUCUUUCUUCAGAUGGAGAAUAAAACACUUCAAAACUGC
rnacentral:lncRNA from 1 species